AGACGUCUACAUUAGAUACCCGCGUAGUCCCAGCCGUAAACUAUGCGCGAUAGGUGUAUCGGUGACCACGAGUCACCGAGGUGCCGAAGGGAAACCGUGGAACGUGCCGCCUGGGAAGUACGGUCGCAAGGCUGAAACUUAAAGGAAUUGGCGGGGAGCACCACAACGGGUGGAGCCUGCGGUUUAAUUGGACUCAACGCCGGGAAGCUCACCGGAUAAGACAGCGGAAUGAUUGCCGGGCUGAAGACUCUGCAUGACUAGCUG
rnacentral:rRNA from 1 species